UUACGGCCAUAUCACGUUGAAACAGCAGUUCUCGUGCGAUCACCGAAGUCAAGCAAUGUCGAGUUUGCUCAAUAUUAAAUGGGUGACGGUUUGAGAAUAUCAGGUGCUGUAAG